GACAAAGGAUCAGAACAGAGGGUAUUAAUUUGUAAUAUCCUAGUUUUAUUUCUUCAGAUGAAUAGUUUAGUCCUUAGAGAUUCAGUUCUGGAGCAAGUUAGGCCUUCAGAAAUCUUACAGUGGCCAGGAUUUAAGAGAAACUGAAGGACUGAAGCACUGUACAAGUAAGAAAUAAGUAUUUGAAGGUUUUGGCUUUCUUCUCUGUACUCAGUUAACAUCCAAAUGCUUAAGUUCCAAGUGUGAAAGAAGAGAGUACAUAGCUUAGCAACUCACAUAGGAACUAGCAAUAGGAAAGUCCAGCUGUACCAAAACUGUCUUUCUGAUCAUACUACUUGGCAUUCACUGUGGAGGGUUCAUAGUAACUUUCUCAGCCAGUGCAGUUCAUGGGAAGAGUGGUCAGCAGUCCACUACUGCUCAUGAUAAAUGAAGUAACAGUUCUGAAUUCCUUCUUUCUUGCUCGUUUGCUGUAGCUGAAAUUUAGCAAUAACAUUGUGUACAGUGGUAUUUGAACUUUGGCAUCUCUUACAUUAUUUCUAGUAAAUAAGACAUUCUGCUACACUUGGAUUUCUUCAAAUGGGAGAGCACAGUUGUUGCUUUAUCCUGUUGGUUAACAAUUUUUAUUUUGGUACUUGAAUUUUCUACUCAAUUUUUAAACACAUACUGAUAGCUUAGUGUCAGAUAUGUUACUAGAUAUCAUUAUCAGCUGAGUAGGGUACAGUUUCAUUGACUUUAAGAUGGAAAAUUAACAGUUCUGCCUUUCUCUGUGCCACCCCUUCCCAUGUGGCAGCACAAGCAUUUGUAUAAUCCAGCGUUCUUAGCAGCCUAGUUUUCAGGAAGCUUGCUACACUACCACACAACUGCUCAUGUUAGGUAAUGAGAAGAGGAACAAUGACUAUGAAAGAAGAUGUGUGCUAAGGUUUCUUCCGUAUUAGUAAGAGAUGAUGAAAUAAGUUUUAGACCACAAAUAAACUGUGGCCUUAGUGUGAAGGAUCAGUGUUCAUUCCUUUCACAGCUCCUUAGCCAAUACAAAAAAACUGUAGAGACUUAAUGAGUCUAUAUUUGGGGUAAGAAAUGGCUUUAGAGUUCAUGUCUACCAUGGUAGCAAAUCAUUAGCUAUACUUGAACAACAUUUGAUACUUGUAGUCCUCUGUAUGCUGCCUGCUGUGUGACAGCAGUUCAUUUUUUCCCUGUACCAUUUAAUCUGAGAAAGAAGAGUGGCUGCUGUCAGACUAAAGGAUGAAGUAUCAUCUUACUCUUCAUGUAGAAAAUAAUUCAGUUGUAGGCCAUGGAGACAAAUGGAGCCGAUUCAAUGGCAGUGCUUCUGCUUAUUUCAGACACUUAAUGAUGAACAUCUUCCUUACCUUGGAAUGGAUAUAAUUAAAAGCAUCUUUGACUUUAUUCCUCGAAUGCAUGGUGCUAAACCAGUUGUUGUGGUUGAAAGCUCUGAAUUCAGGGAAGCAGCAGGAAAGUCAAGUACUCGCAUAGGCUGGUUGUCCUGUUUUUCAGUGUGCCUGAUGUGCUGAGGAGCAGUUAAGAGUCUGUUCUCUUUCUUUCUUCAAAGGAAAGACAGUACCUACCUCAUAGGAGUGACACAAGGACUGUUCAGGAGCGUUUUGAUGUUACUUGAGACUUGCACAAUACACAUCCAUGGUGAGAGUAAGAAAGACAUAGUACUAGUGUAGCUUGAUGGUAAUUACAUAGAUUCAUGUUAUACCAGUUUAAUCCCCUCACUGAACAGAAUUCAGCAGCUUUAUGCCAGGACUUUUCUUAAACAGAGGAAUUGCAGUUCCAGAGGAGAGCAAGGCCAGAAAGAUCUCAGUUUCUGCAAGAGUUUAUAGGUGGGCUAAAUAACAGUCUUUUGACAUUUUUCCAUUUAUCUUUCAGUUUUCCCAGGGAUUCUUUUUAAUCAAGUGGUAUUUAUAUCAUUUAUGAUUGUUUGUGUUGAUACAAUCAACAGUCAGUUUGACUCUUUUGGAUGAUUAAGUUCAGAUGAUGUACUGCAGCUGAAGUGUUAACGUUUACUUUCUUACCUGCUGACUCAUGUUUAUAAGUGAGAUCAGAUCUCUUGGGGGGUAAAAAAAAAACGACUGCAGGUUUUUUUUUGUAAAGUAAACUUGAUUUUCUCCUUUUUUUUUAGCAUUGUGUAGGGGUGUUUUUUUGGUUUUUUUUUUUUUUUUUUUUUUUUUAAUAAAGCAUGAGAAUGGCACCAAAAAGCCUGAGUGGGAACUGGUGCUGUUGUCCUUACUAACCAACCUGUAGGAGCAAAUACGCAGAGUGAAAACAUACUGUUCUUAACAAGCUGCUUUGCCACAAGCCUAUUUGGAAUGGGAAUAACGAGGAAGUAUUCUGUGAUGUUUUGGACAAUGGGCUAAUAGUAAGAUUAGAAUUCUGUAAGAAUAAGGGGAGGGCCCUGGGAAAAUGGAAUCCUGAUCCAUUCAAACUGAACCAUAGUCCCCUGCAUUUCCAGAAAGAAUAACCUAUUGUUGAACUGUAAGCACCAUUUAAGAAUCUGUUAAGAUUCUUAAAGGCUGCUGAAGUAAAAGGUUAUAACAAACCUCAUUAGGUGUAUGCUGUUGUCUGACCAAGAGGGCACUCAUAUUCCAGGCAGUAAUACUGACAGUAGCAGUUCAAGCAGGUGUACUGCGUACAAGCAGAAGAAAGAACCACCCUGCCAGGACUUAGGAAGAUGCAGAUGCUUCAGCUUCGCUGCAAUUGCCCGGCCUCCAGAGCUGGACACACGACCCAGAUGAAUCUUUGGCUCACCGUCCCGUGAAAUGUGUUUCAUUUAUAGAAGAGUGCAUAUAAAUGCAGCUAAAGCAGCUCCGGCAAGCUAAAACCAAGGAUUUCUCUCUUUCUUUUGACACCUGCAUGUGGCUCUUGAAUACAUGGUGAAGAUUUCACGUCUAUACACAUUCAUCCAAAAAGAAAACUAUGCUGCAGAAACCUACUUAUUUUACACAGAAAAUGACUGGUACCACUGUGAAUCACCACACUGAGCUGGGAGGAUGCUCACUUGGGUGAUCACAGGGUUAAGAGAACCCUGACCCAAUGCCUGGGCAGGAAUAUCAGCACCAGAGCACUUCCCUGCUGGUUGCUACAUUAAGGAACUGCACCAAGAGAAAAGCACCAUUUCCGAGGGGCUUGACUACCAGGAAAUAUGGGGGUCAAAGUGAAUGUGCAUCUUCAAAGCACUGCGAUCAUCCCCAAUUCAAACUCAGUUCACCCUUAGGAAGAGCAACUGGGAUGCUGUCUGCACAGGCAAGCUCUGUGCGUUGUCCUCUAGCAAAGGCACCUCAAAGCAAGUUAGAACAAACCCACAAGAAGAGCCACGUCCAUUUUGUAACCUAUAAUUUUUAAAUAUAACAUUUUAUUGCUUAGAUGGUUUGAUACAGAACAAGUUUUACUUUUUAUUUUGAAUUUGGAAGUACUGUACAACUGAAUAAAAAGAGGAAUAGAAGUACCAAAACAAA